rnacentral:rRNA from 1 species
UACGAAGGGGGCGAGCGUUGUUCGGAUUUACUGGGCGUAAAGGGCGCGCAGGCGGCCAUCUUUGUCAGGCGUGAAAGCCCCGGGCUUAACCUGGGAAUUGCGCUUGAAACGGGUUGGCUUGAGACCGGGAGAGGUGAGUGGAAUUCCCAGUGUAGCGGUGAAAUGCGUAGAUAUUGGGAGGAACACCAGUGGCGAAGGCGGCUCACUGGACCGGUACUGACGCUGAUGCGCGAAAGCGUGGGGAGCAAACGGG